rnacentral:tRNA from 1 species
GGGCGAUUAGCUCAGCUGGGAGAGCGUUUGGUCGACAACCAAAAGGUCACAGGUUCGAGCCCUGUAUCGCCCA